UACAGAGGGGGCAAGCGUUAUUCGGAAUUAUUGGGCGUAAAGGGCGCGUAGGCGGCUUUGCAAGUGACGGGUGAAAGCCCUCGGCUUAACCGAGGAACUGCCUGUCAGACUGUAAGGCUUGAGACCGGGAGAGGUGAGCGGAAUUCCCAGUGUAGCGGUGAAAUGCGUAGAUAUUGGGAGGAACACCAGUGGCGAAGGCUGCUCACUGGACCGGAACUGACGCUGAGGCGCGAAAGCGUGGGGAGCAAACAGG
rnacentral:rRNA from 1 species